UGACAUUUAUUUAGGAUACACCUCUGCUGAUCUGCUCGCUGCUUCCUCAGCGCGCACGGGAUGCAGCGACCUCAAAACGUUGCCAGAUCACGGAUUCCGAUGUUAUCGAAGAUUUCCGUUUUUGAUUUGCUUAUGCCCUGAUCGAGACUAUGCAAUGAGAAUCAAGUGUAUGGUAUCCAUGAUUUUGGUCAGUCAAAAGGUGAUGAGUGGCUAACUUAGAAAAUGGAUUAUGCAAUGGUGGCAGAAAUGAUAAGGAUGGUGUGUCGAUACGUAAUAUUGACACUUAUGAUUAGAAAGGAAUAGACAGAAUGAAUUUAUUAAUAUAAAUUAAUGAAUUUAAUAUAAAUUAAUGAAUUUAUCAACUUUUGCUUAUUAGUCGUGCAAGCCUGGGCGAAUUUUAUCCAACAGUUGUAUUGGUGUGGUGGUUCCGAUACUUCACAAAAUCUGCAGUUACAUUCAAACCACACCGAUACGUAUUCAGCUUCGAUGUCCAGGAGACGCAAUUAUUAAACCAACUGCUGUACACUCACCCAAAUCUGGUAGGGUUAAUUUGGGAGGAUGGAGGAUGGUCUGUAGCAAGGGUCGUGGAGGAAUGGAUGACUUGGUUUGCGAAUGUCCUUCCCCCACUGCCUGGACCCCCACCCGGACCACCCGGACCACCCCCACCACCUCCCCCGCCGCCACCACCAGCAGCAGCCGUUGUAAAUGGUUAAGCUCUCAACCUGUCGAGUUAAAAUAUUCUUUCUGUAAUUAUUUCAAACUACAUAUAAUUAUAAAAAUACUAGUACUAUCCAGUUUUGUCCAAAUUAUUAUUAACCAACCAACUUUAAUUGUUCAGUUAAAAUUAAGUGUGUCAUUAUAUAAAUCACGUCGCCAAGAUGACGAUGCACUCAUCCAUUCAAGGGAAACUUAUCGCCGUAAUUGGCGACGAGGGUGUUGGAUUUCUGUUAGGUGGAAUCGGUGAAAUUAAUAAGAAUCGGCAGCCCAACUUUAUGGUGGUGGAUAAGAACACAAGUGUAUCUGAGAUUGAAGAAACUUUC